rnacentral:tRNA from 1 species
GCCUUCGUGUUGUAGUGGUCAGCACGCUCGACGCGUAAUCGAGAGGUCCGUGGUUCGAUUCCCGGGGAAGGCA